UACGAUGUGUAUGUGUUUGCUUGAAGAACAAAGUUUUAUUUUGCCCCACAACCUAACCUGUAUGUCUCGUUUGUUCAUUCUGAGAUGUGAUUUGUUGUGUUAUCUGUCUGUAUAAUGAUCCAUCCAAUCAGAGAUAAGUGGGCGUGUCUCAGAGGAACGAUUGAAAAAUCUUUUCACAGACGGGCAGAGAGAGUCAGACCUUGGUGAGGAGCGGAGCUGACGCUGAAAUGAAUGCUUGUUUGCUACGAUGUUUUUCAGAGUCAACUUUCUGUUCAGAAAUGGGGAAACCGUUGUCAUGUAAAAACAACCCAAAAAAACGUUCAAAGUUCUAAAGGGACUUUUAUGAAAUUGACCAUAGACGGGUCUUAUUUGGACUCUCUGGAAGACCGAGCACACCGUGCCGCUCGUCUGAGCCGAUCCCAGCCUCCAGGCCUCAAGAGAUUCCCGCCUCUUCCUCUGUCCUGCACAGUCAGAUUAUGCCGCAGAGUUUGUCUGCAGAGCAUUUUCCCCGCCAACAGUUGGCGUGACCAUCAGCUACGCCAGGUUUUUUUCCAUCGGGAGGAAUCCUCUUCCCAUCUGCUGAUGGCGAGCUAACAGAGCCCACCUGGACCAAAAGCCAACUGUCCCUACUAACGCGGACCAGCAGCAGCGUGGACGGCCUGCUGCCAGAGGUAAGAAGAGCAGCAAAGGUAAGGGCUGUUCUCCUUCCUGCAUCUGUUGUGAGGUUCAGCCAACGCUCUGACAUCACAGCUUUUUAUAGUCUUUUUUUAAAGUGAUGACAUCAUAACUAAUCCAGGUCCUAAAAUACAGGGCUGUGAUGACUUGUUAUGACAACGUGUCACAAUGUGUCAUAACGUGUCAUCACAGCCUUGUUUUGUUAUGACGAAAUAUGACAUCACUGAUGACAUCAAACUCAUCAAGCAAAAUGUCAUUUGACUCCAUCAUAUUUUUUAAUAUAUAUCACCCCGACUUUCUAAACUUUAAUUGGACAGACUGCAGUUCAAGUACUAGAUCCGCAAUCAGAGAGCAUUUGCUGUUCAAGGUUUUUAAAGCCUUUAUUUUAGAACAGUUUUUAAGAACUUCCAUGAUGAGUUUCUUUAGAAGAACUGCGGUGAACAUGGGCUUUCUUCAGGAGGGCCAACUAGAUUGUUUGCACCAAGAAAAUGACAGUUUACGUCACAGGAUCGAAACUCUUCGUGGCACUUUGGGUAACAGCAAAAAGGUGGAGGAAAUGCACAAAGACGUCGACAAACGGAAGAAAGCGGCCUCUAAACUGAACAAAAGUUUGAAAAAAGAACUUGACAAACUAAGUAGGCAGCUUCGGAUUCAGAUCGAUUUGGAAAACAAAUGUAAACGUUACCAGGACAAGAUAGAAACGCUCAACCGCAUGAAUGAAAUGUAUCAAAGACAAACGACAAGCGUCAUAGAACAACUGUCGGACAAGACAACCCUGGAAAACAAACUGAAGGGGCUGAAAGCCAAGGAAGCGCUUUUGAGAAACAAUAAACUCCAAAUUGAGAAAGACUUAAGGUGCGCUGACCCUUCACAACACAACGGUUUCAAAAAGAUCAAAGAAAAAGAAGUUUUAGUCCAACAGUUAGAAGAGGAAACAGAAACUCUUGAACAAAUGCUUAGAGAAAUGCAGGUUUCUGUCCAGGAAAAGGAAAACUUGACCAAACAUUUGAUUCAAAGAGGUUCAUUGUGUCUAUAAAAUUACACUGCGUAUUUAAUUUAUUUUUUAUCAGACACUGGUUUGUUUUGUGAUG